rnacentral:rRNA from 1 species
AUUGAACGCUGGCGGCAUGCCUUACACAUGCAAGUCGAACGGCAGCACGGGAGCAAUCCUGGUGGCGAGUGGCGAACGGGUGAGUAAUAUAUCGGAACGUGCCCAGUCGUGGGGAUAACGUAGCGAAAGCUACGCUAAUACCGCAUACGAUCUAUGGAUGAAAGCGGGGGAUCGCAAGACCUCGCGCGAUUGGAGCGGCCGAUAUCAGAUUAGGUAGUUGGUGAGGUAAAGGCUCACCAAGCCGACGAUCUGUAGCUGGUCUGAGAGGACGACCAGCCACACUGGGACUGAGACACGGCCCAGACUCCUACGGGAGGCAGCAGUGGGGAAUUUUGGACAAUGGGCGCAAGCCUGAUCCAGCAAUGCCGCGUGCAGGAUGAAGGCCUGGUUGU